CUUGUAUUCAAGCUGCCCUCUGAGCUUAGUUCAGUUCUUCAAAUUGCAAAGUUGCUGUAAGAUUGAUUUGCCAGAAAUGUGUGGAUGAAGAAGUGCUGUAAUCUCACUGCAUUUUGACAAAACAGAAGUCCUCUCCUUUUAUUUUUUUGAAAUCCUUACUGCCUCUCCCUUUCCUCUCUAUGGCAGGAUACGCAAUUUCAUCCUAGGAGUAAACAGUCAAGCUUGUACCAGAAGCUGAUGGAGGACACAGAAGUUGGCUUUCAAAUGACAAGGCUUUUCAGAUUCAUGCAUCCCCUGAGCUUCCUUGAAUCUGCUGAGACCACAGAGAAGUGCAUUUUAAUUCAGUGAAUUCAACGAUGUCCUCACUGUGUCAUGAAGACACAAUCCUGAUGUGAGUCAGCACUCAGGACACAGCAGAACAUCCUUAACAGGUACCUUCAAACUAAAGAGACAGAAGAGAUAUCUGAAACAGUCCAAAAGUGUUGUCUGUUCAUCUGACUCAAACCAGGAUCCAGGCUGUGCAAUCCCAACUUCACCAUCCAUGGAGGUGAAGGAAUCAAAACAAGAGCUGAAUCCUCAUGUGAAAAUAUUGCAGUUCACUCGCUUUACUUCAGAGACAGUUUUCUUGGUAUAUUUUUCCAGCAGGUAAGGCUGCCACGCCUACAGGCCAUAAUCCUCCUUGUCUGAAGCCAAAUAACACAAGGAAUCAAAAUGCCUUCGUGAGCUUUGAAAUGAAACAUUCUCAUCUGGCUGUUUCUUGGCGCCCUUGAGAGCACUAGCUAAAGGGCUGAUCUCCAGGAAGGUAAGAGCCUUGUUUAUUUUUGCUUUACCUUCCCUCCCUCCUGAGAACCGCUAUGACCACAGACAGGAGCAGGGAAGCUGGGUAUCGGAAACACAUGCUUUGCACUGGUGAGACUGAAG
ensembl:lncRNA